AGUGAACGCUGGCGGUAGGCCUAACACAUGCAAGUCGAACGGCAGCACAGUAAGAGCUUGCUCUUACGGGUGGCGAGUGGCGGACGGGUGAGGAAUACAUCGGAAUCUACUUUUUCGUGGGGGAUAACGUAGGGAAACUUACGCUAAUACCGCAUACGACCUACGGGUGAAAGCAGGGGAUCUUCGGACCUUGCGCGAUUGAAUGAGCCGAUGUCGGUUUAGCUAGUUGGCGGGGUAAAGGCCCACCAAGGCGACGAUCCGUAGCUGGUCUGAGAGGAUGAUCAGCCACACUGGAACUGAGACACGGUCCAGACUCCUGCGGGAGGCAGCAGUGGGGAAUAUUGGACAAUGGGCGCAAGCCUGAUCCAGCCAUACCGCGUGGGUGAAGAAGGCCUUCGGGUUGUAAAGCCCUUUUGUUGGGAAAGAAAAGCAGCAGGUUAAUACCCCGCUGUUCUGACGGUACCCAAAGAAUAAGCACCGGCUAACUUCGUG
rnacentral:rRNA from 1 species